UACCCGCAGCACAAGUGGUGGUCAUUAUUAUUGGGCGUAAAGAGCGUGUAGGCGGCCAUACAGGUCAGCUGUGAAAACUCGAGGCUCAACCUCGAGACGUCGGUUGAAACCGUAUGGCUAGAGUCCGGAAGAGGAGAGUGGAAUUCCCGGUGUAGCGGUGAAAUGCGCAGAUAUCGGGAAGAACACCUAUGGCGAAGGCAGCUCUCUGGGACGGUACUGACGCUGAGACGCGAAAGCGUGGGGAGCAAACAGG
rnacentral:rRNA from 1 species